GUUUUUAGGAGAGCGUCAGCCCCUAAUUGACUUGAGAAAAAAAAUUGAAAAUGGCUGUGACUUUGACAGUAGGCUAUACCCCUCUUUGCAACAGAGGAAGCAUUAGGAAAGGGUAGAAGAGAGAAAGUAAAAAGGUCCUCAACAGAUGUUGGUGAGACUUCAUUUCUAGACCUGGUAAAUGGAUAAAAUCUCAUUCACAUUCUACCUCAAAUGUCAACCUGAUUUUAGAUAGUAUUUAAAUGAGAUCAAGAAAUCCAGUUACAUGUAGGCCUAAAGUACUGUAUAUUUUAUACAUGUACUAAAUGCACUGUAGACAAGCAUUUAUGUUUAAUAGUUUAAUUUUUUUGGUUACUUUUUUAUUGUGUGAUUUCUAUUUUCAGGAAAAUGCAUCGGUAGCAAAAAAAAAAAAAGACCAAAAACAUCAUUCAGCAGAAGAUUAUGGCUGCGGUGAAACAAAGCUGCACUCAAAUAAAGGAACCAAGACCUGCUGUGGGAGUGCUGAAGGAUUCAAGUGCACCAAGUCCUUUGUCUCCUCAGCCACGUAAGAGGUCAGACAUGGCUGAAGAAAAGUUUAAAGAGUUAAAAAAUGAAAUUAAAGAGCUUAAAGAAGAUUUAAAAUAUGAGCGGCGCUUCAGGAUAAAAGCAGAGAGAGAGCUGAGGGAGUGGAAAUAAAUGCAUGCUGUUGUGCAGGAGCUAAAAGGCACAGUAGGAGAAAUAAAGAUGAUGUGCAUUUCAAAGCAGAAGCCUGACACUCUGCAGACUUCAUCUUCUCAGAACAUCGGUUCUCAAAUUCAAGAACCAUGCUCUGCUCAAGGAAGUGAGCAGGUAAACGAUUACAUCAAUUUGGGAGAGGGGUUGCGGAUCAGAGAGAAGCCAGUUUGAUAGGAUCAACACCUAAGAUUUUAAAAAAAUUACCAGUGAGCUUUUCCUUGUAACCUUUGGGCGAGAAACUCUUGCCACUCACUUUCUAAAUGGAAGAAAGGCACCCAAUGCAGAGACCAGCAAGGAGGCACUUCCAGCUCACACGGUGUCCGUCUGAAUAGACUAUAUCCAAAAGAAAUUCAGUGUGUCUUCAUCUGAUGUAAAGGCAGUCAUAAGAACCAAGCUUAACAAAGAGGAUAAGCUAAAAAAACGAAACCUACCUGAGUAAUGGAAAUAGACUAUAAAGUGUUUAUUUGCAAAUGAUUAAUUUAUUCAUUUAUUUCCUAACUCUC
ensembl:lncRNA